rnacentral:rRNA from 1 species
UACGUAGGGUGCGAGCGUUGUCCGGAAUUAUUGGGCGUAAAGGGCUCGUAGGCGGUUUGUCACGUCGGGAGUGAAAACUCGGGGCUUAACCCCGAGCCUGCUUCCGAUACGGGCAGACUAGAGGUAUGCAGGGGAGAACGGAAUUCCUGGUGUAGCGGUGAAAUGCGCAGAUAUCAGGAGGAACACCGGUGGCGAAGGCGGUUCUCUGGGCAUUACCUGACGCUGAGGAGCGAAAGCCAGGGGAGCAAACGGG